ensembl:lncRNA
UUCUAAGAGGCGCUUCAGCCUUCCCCGGGAGGGUUAAUUGGCAGAGACGAGAGUUCAAAGCAGCCCCAGAGUUGAAUUCACUCGCUCCUGAUGCAUUCGGAGUUUAGCGCCACCAACGAAAACAAAACGGAUAUAAACAAGAGUGAGCAGUUCAGUACAAAUAAUAAUUUCGCUUUAAGACUUCUUUUAUUUUUUCUUGUUUUUAAAAUAUUAAAAUAACGUACCUGCUCUUUGUUUUCGUUUAAAAAACCCUCAAAUCGUACAGAAGGAUAGGAAGUAAAAACGUAACCAUGCUCUUUAAUACAAAAUGUUUAAAAAGAGAAACCACUUUUAAUAGUUUGCAGGUAUCCUGAGACCUCUGGUUUUCCAACCACAAUGAACUCCCCCUGAUGCCCAGACAUACCAAUUAGAAAAUCAGAAAUAGGGCUCGGAGCCUCAUAGAGGAAGGUGAGGGCGUCCUUGACAUGCCUUUGUUGAUUUGCUGCUGUUCCCAAGUAGAAAUAAAUAUUAGGAUGUUUGAGGACAUCUGGAGGAGGGAAAGGUGAGAGGAGCUGCAGCUGCUGCUCAAGGCCACAGCCAAAGGGGUUCCUGGACCAGUACAGACCACGGGGAGUCCUGCUCCUCAAGCUCCCCCCUCUCCUCCCUACCUGUCGGACCCUCCCUUCGACAGUCUUUGACGGGAGCCCCCAGGGGGAGAUGCUACAUUUAUUUUUCCUGCCUCCAAUCCCCCGCCUCCCGGCUGAUGACUCAGCACAGGUUAUUUCACUUUUUGGUUCUCAGCUGUGCUGUGUCAAGCAGAAAAGAUAAACAUUUUAUAUUCCUGAAGGCAGGGGGCUUAUGGAAAGAAUGCACGCAGGAUGCCCAGCAUUACCCUGGCCCUUGAGGGAGAAACUGGCAUCAGAAAUUCAAGACCCAUUCUUAGAGGGAUCAGACAAUGGUGGUCCUCACUGUAAAAUGCUUUGCUGCCCCGCAUCGCUGCAGAAUGGAGUCUGGGACCCUUCGAAGCCCCGUUCCCCACGGCCAGCCCAGACAGAGCUGCCCCUGGCACGCAGGCAGUAUGUGAGCUUCUUGUAACUUCUCUUGCAGGACCUGCUGCUGUAUACCUCCAUCUGGAUUUGAUCAGCCUGGUGGCGGGGAGUGACGUUUCUGGGUGCUAACAGGCUGGAGUCUGGUGGCUGCUGAACGGUCUAGACAGGGCCUGUAUUUCCAGUUCACACAAUCCCCAGGAGACAGUGUCUGCCCUGGCAUUUCCUCCCAGGCUGUGCUUCUCUCUUAUGUUAUCUGCCCGGAGCCUGAAGACUUUGAGUUUGAGGUCACUGACCAUCCUGCCCACUGCCAGCACAUGGACCAAACUUAAUACCCACACCCGCUGAAAUGAGAACAGGCCUCUCCUUGAGGGCCACACCAAGCUCCUCACCCCUGGUCUCCAGCCUCAGAAGCCAGAAGAACAAUGUGGAUGGCUGGACAAUGAUGAUGGUCUUCUGGAAACUCCAGGCCUGGAGCAGGGGCCUCUGCCUGGGCCCCCUGUUCCCCAGCAUCUCUCUCCCUCCCUGCCCCCCACUCCUCUCCCUUCUACCCUCUACCCAUCCCUGCUCCUGUCCCCAUCUGCCCUCUCCCAGCAGAAUCCAGACAGCGCACCACAAUUAUCCCCAAAUUGACCCUCCAUCAAAUUCACCUGAAGCUGGGGUCAGACUGCUUUCCCAUUAGUGCCCCCUUUCCAUCAUCGUCCUGCAUGGCAGGAGCUGAGAGCCUGCUACUUAAGAGCUGCACGCACCAGCUGCAGCCUUGCCCUUCUAAGCAUCCUUUUCUCCAGGUUGUCUUUUUUCUUCCUCUGGGCUGUUCCUUGACACUUCCUCCUGUUCCCCCAAUUCCUACAGGUAAUUGAAGGCUACAGAGGUAUCAUUUGAGUGACUCUGAAGAUGGUGCCAGCUCUCAAGACCACCCACGUCACUCCUCUUGGAAGACAGCAGCCCCGUGGCGGGGACUGAGAGCAGUUCACAGCACUGGAGGCCAAGCACUGCAACUUCAGGGUGUGGUUCUCAAACUCGAGCGUGCAGCAGAAACACCUGGAGGGCUUGUUAAAACACAGAUGCUGGGCCCUACCCCGCAGUCUUUGAUUCAGGAGGUCUGGGGUGAGGCAGGAGAAUUUGCACUUCUGACAAGCUCCCAAGUCAUGCUGAGCUGCUGGUCCAGGGAACACACUUUGAGAACCACCAAUUUCACUGUCUGCCAGAGAACUCGAGGCUGAGAGAGUCUUCUUCAGACACCCCCCACCAACCUCGUGGAGGAGAGACCCUCCCUGCAGGAAGGUUAGGGUCCUUUUAUUUUUUUUAUCUUUUCAUUUGAGGAAUAUUAGCCCUGAACUAACAUCUGUGCCCAUCUUCCUCUACUUUGUAUGUGGGAUGCCUCCACAGCAUGGCUGAUGAGUGGAGUAGGGCCGCAUCUGGGAUCUGAACCUGUGAACCCAGGCCUCCCAAGCAGAAAGUGUGGAACCUUAACCACUUGGCCACAGGCCCAGCCCCGAAGAGACCUGCCCUCAGGGUAAAGGAGCACCUCCUGGCCUGGGAGCUUUAAAGGCUCCUCUCCUGCUGGGGAGCAGCCCAACGCCAAUGACUAGUGACUUGGGAUACAGAAGCUGGGCCUCUUACAGGCUCCCCCCAGGACAAGGCUGAGACUGGACUCCAGCGAGAUAAUCUCCUUCCUUGCUGACCUCCUUCCUGGCUGGGCCUGCUUCCCUCAGUCCUGAGAGCACUGCCCUAAUCAAUCGUGUGUGCCAAAUCCUCGUCUCAGGUUCUGCUUCUCAUGAACCCAGACAUCCAUCUCCCGCCCCUACCACCAGCAUGAACAAACUACGAAUGGGGAGAGGGCUCUUCAGCACUCCUAACGGUUCUGGGGAUAAGGAAUAUUCAAGGAUGAUGAUGAUGAUGAUAGAUAUUUGUUGAUUUCCAUGGGGGCUCUGUGCUUCACUGUGAUGCCCCCUAACUCCAGCUGGUCAUCAAAGAAUUCACACCUUGGUUGUGCAGAAAAGGGAGGGCUUGAGGCUGAGACAAUUCAUCUCUCUCUACCUUCAUGUGAGGUACUUACCACAUUGUCAGCACUGCUCUAAGCUCU